UCCCUGGCCUCUCAGUGUUUUGACGGUGCACUGUGGCCCCCCACCGACCACCCUCUUUUUUUUCUUUAUGUGUUCCCAUCUCAUCUCUCCCUGAACCUCCCCUCAAAAAAAAAUCUCUCCCUGAUCUGAUCCUUGCUUCACCCCGCACCGCAAUUGAGAGAGAGAGAGGGCCGUAGCCGGAGCAUCGCCGUCCACCUCGCCGGAGCCGGCGACACCGUGGCUCUCCUCUUUUUCCCGGCGUCGCCCCCUAUACGAACACUAGGUCGCGGAGACCGCCCAUCGUCUGAUGUCUACUCCUAUCCCUCCCUGCCUCUCUAUCCAUUGUGAUGACGCCUCCCCCUUCGGCCCUUCCGUUCUCUCCCUUUCUCCCGUCCCUCUCGAUCUACAAGGGGAAUGUCGCCUACCCAUCUCCCCUCCACGCGCCGCCGUGAGUAGGAGCAGAUCCUGCUCACCCUUUCACCUCUUUGCGCCGCAAAAGGCUCAUAUGCUCCACCCUGGAUGCGGUGUCUUGAGACCAGCGGCCCUCUUCUGCUCGCCUGGCCAUCCGCUAGCGCUGAUACCGACGAGGGCUGCGUGCGACUGUAUCUACCGAAUACCUACGAUAGAUGUUACUCGCGGACACAAGUAUGCUUCAACCUAAGCGUGUUGUUAUAUGCAGAUUCAGGUUAGUAUCCCCUUGCAUGGAAUCUUUUGAUUUAUUACUCUUAGAUAUAGUUUCUUUGCACCAACAUCGAUUCAGAUUUUUUUUUGUAAUAAAUAGUUUCACAUUCUAAUACCAAAUUAUGCAUACAGACCCUAGAGUUGGUGUAGCAAUAUUUGCUCCAAACAACAAUGCAUAAAUUGAAGGCCAUCUUUACAAUGUAUUUAGCUCCUAUUUUUCUAUACAAGGGCGGUACCUUCUUUGAGUCGCUUGAUUCUGACGGUACUAUCCCUGUAUUGUUGUCUGAAGAAAUAUGUUCCUAUCGCUCGGGCAUUGAGAAGACAAGCUUCGUCCGCAUUGUCGUUAAUAAUGAACAAACAAUCUGCACUGUAGCUAGGUUGUGUUCGAUCCUGCACUUAAAGAAAGACAUAUAAGAGACAUGCAUGACUUGACGCUUCAAGAUGCUGUCAAACAAAAGCCCAAGGCUUACAAAGCUUUUAUGUCCCGCAAGAGAAACAAACAAAUUACUGUAAGCAUCCAUGGCUUCCUACUUUGGAGAAAAUAUGUAUCACUUGAUAUUAGUUCUCUGUUCAAAUAUUGUACUUAGUAACACUGCAAAUACAUGGUGGGUUACAAUCCUAACCUUAAGAUUUCACAAGGAGAUAUUCAUAGAUACUACAAUCCAAUCAUUUUAUAAGUUUGGACAUGUCAAACAUGGGUUGAUUUUCCAGUGGGAAAAUAUUUUCACGUAAUUGAACGAGCUACUAAUGAAAUGAGGUAUUAAUGUAACUCUUUGUUUUGGUGCUGCAUAAUAGGCUUGGAGCUCCUAUAAGGGUAAAUUAAUAGAUAAACAACUCUACCAAAUCAAACUAUACUUCUGUAUGAACCGCUUCACACAUCGCGAUGACCUCAAUGAGUGGUUCCUGACGGAGGUAAGCAGUUCUCGCUAUGCAUUCUGAAUAAAUUUCUACUAGCCGAAAUGGUUGAGAUCUCAAGAGAGCUUAAGUAAUUUAAAUUUAUUUUGGAGUCAACAAAGUUUCCCAUUGGAUCUUGGAGCCUGACAGUGAAUUCUGAAAUCAAUUCACUUUGACAGUUCGAUUUACUACGGUAAUCUAAUUGCGGCUCGGUUGUAUAAUUUGGCCGGCUGAAUUGCUUCUCACUGCUACAAUUUUUAUUCGCCAGAAUAUGAUACAUAGCCAUGUCCUGAUGUCCAUAUCGUUGUUAUUUACUUAAUUGAGGCAAACCACAUGGGUGUCUAUUUUAGUAGUGUGCUAUAUCCUGACCACAUGCAUCACGUCGGGCUUCUCCCUUUAUUGUUGCUCUUCCUAGGAUCGUCUCUGAUUAUAACAUGAUAGGAGAUCCUCGAUCAUAUACAAUUCAAAUGACAGACACUAAAAUGUGUAUUUCCUGCAGUAAAUCUUUACUGUGUGAUAAUACAGAAAUGUUGACUACGUUUUGAGGUUAUUUUCUCAUGUCAUGUUGGUGUCACUUUACUUCCUAGGAAUACUUUGUCCAGAUUACUUAUAUAUAAAUAUUAUUAGUUCCAUUUUUGUGAAUUACCAUGCUAGACAAAUGUUUGUCUUUCCACAACAAAUGGCUAGAGUACCUUGGUGGUUAAUGCACAUGAAGGACUAGGAUAGUAGGCCUGGUUCUAACAAAGGACCAGGUAAGGAAUGGUCAUUUUAUUUCAAAGGAAUGUCUAAAUAUUGGUAUUCAGUAAAUAUAUACAUCUUUUCCAUCUCAACAAUUUUUGCAUGAUUCCUAUCAAAAAAAAAUUGUAAUUUUGUUUGUUUAGUUCGAUUGGCUCCAUAUUGUUUCCAUUUAUAUAGUCUUGCUGUCUAACUUAUGACUAUGAGAAGAUUAGCAGGUAGUAACAUCAUGUUGGUCUAAUUUGUAUUUGAUAGUUGUGCUAAGAUGGAUUUGUGAUAAAAAAAUUACUUUUUGCUAAGUCAGUUCUUUUAGCUUUGUGUAGACUAUUAAGUGAUCGAAUACUAAAUCAGAAUAACCAGAGAUGUAUAACCAAGGAAAUGUUUUAUUUUUUCUUAAAGCAUACAUGAUUUUCUCUACCCAGACCAUUUUAAAAGACUUUUAGUCAUGUUUGCACACAUCUUUUGUGUUUGCCAUUAUGCCCUAAUAUGUAGGGCUUUAUAUAUUUGGUCCUCACGGUGAUGGAAAGUUAUGUAUUUUAUUGUUAAAUGGGCAUUUGUAUCACAAAACAAGUUCACUUGGCGGUGUGAAUUCCAUCAACAUGGCACAUUUAAUAUACCAAUAUGUUGUUUUGUGCAUUUUUUGUUCUCCUUGGUUGGAUGUGAAACGUGGCUAUUGUAGAUAGAUUUGUUACCCUGCUUGGUUGCUUUUCAGGAAUGAUUUUCUGAUCGUUGUAUGCAAAUACUUUGGAUCAUCUAGGUCUUUUUGUCAGUUUGAUUUGUAUUACCCAAGGAGACCAAGGAAAGAGCGAGAAAGAGAUCCUUCUAAGCCAAGGAUAUGGGAAGUGAGUAGAACUGGAGCAAAAAUGAAAUAAAGACUAUGUGGCCUUAGCAUAUAUAUGUUUGUCAUGUACAUGGAGUAACAUUGUGUAUUCUAGAAGAAUAAAUGACUUUUCCCAACUUCUGUGUAGGCCAAACUUUAUAGGCUUUCUUUAUGAAUUUGGUUGUUUAGUAACAUACACCAACUUUGAACACCUGUUUUGUUAUUGAUUUGUCUCAUGAUGUGUAA